AGUCAAUAGAUACCCGGGUAGUCCACGCCGUAAACGAUGAGUACUAGGUGUAGGAGGUAUCGACUCCUUCUGUGCCGCAGUUAAACACAAUAAGUACUCCGCCUGGGAAGUACGGUCGCAAGAUUAAAAACUCAAAGGAAUUGACGGGGGCCCGCACAAGCAGCGGAGCAUGUGGUUUAAUUCGAAGCAACGCGAAGAACCUUACCUAGACUUGACAUCUCCUGAAUAGCGCAGAGAUGCGUGAAAGCCCUUCGGGGCAGGAAGACAGGUGGUGCAUGGUUGUCGUCAGCUCGUGUCGUGAGAUGUUGGGUUAAGUCCCGCAACGAGCGCAACCCCUAUUAUUAGUUGCUACCAUUAAGUUGAGCACUCUAAUGAGACUGCCCGGGUUAACCGGGAGGAAGGCGGGGAUGACGUCAAAUCAUCAUGCCCCUUAUGUCUAGGGCUACACACGUGCUACAAUGGUGAGAACAACGAGAUGCAAUACCGCGA
rnacentral:rRNA from 1 species